GGAGGCGGUACUUCCUCCAGCAUUUGCCGCGAGUUAUUGGCAAGUUCCCCUGCAGUUGUUUGGGCUGUCGCUGUGGCUGGUUCUGCGGUGUGCGGCCAGCCAUGGAGCGCUCUGGGCCCAGCGAAGGUAAAAAAGCUCACACAUUUGACUUGGAAGCAAUGUUUGAACAAACUCAAAGAACAGCUGUGGAAAGAAGUCACAAAACACUGGACCAGAUUACAGAGGGGUAUUGAUUUGCCUUGCCCCCGCCCCCACCAUCACAGUGUGUCCCUGUCCAGUGUUGGUGCUGUGUGGCAUUGCUUGUGUCCAUAGGAGUCCAUCAAGGCAGAGCGGCAGAGCGGCAAGCAGAGCGGCAAGGCAGGUCAGCUUCCGGCUCUUCCAGGCUGCAUGUCCCCCUCAAUAUCCUUUCAACCCAAUGGAAAUGGAUUGAAAGAGUGAAAGUCACUGGUCUCAAAGAAUCUACGGAAUUUAGCAUUUUGAAAAUCACAGAGCAAUUUUGGGUAGGUAUUCACAUGCACUAAAAAACCAGGCAAACAUCUGACUCCCAGGAUAAAGUGACUGAGAGCAGUAGAAGACUUGUUGAGCCUUAAGGAAUAAGAGGAAAAUUAUGUUAUGAAGUGCAGGAACAGCACAGACCCAGACGAGGGGAUGCAGCCCGGAGCCAGUAACCCGGCGCCUCCUCCUCCCCAGGGCGCAGCGCUGGCUGCUCCCCGGAUACCGUGAUCACACGUCCCAGGUCCUGAGAGCGCCUCAUAGGUAGACAGUUCUUUGGGACUUUUGGGACGCAGCACUUGAAGAGAGGUUUACCUAAACUUUCCUCCUGGGAGCCUGUCAUCAUUUGAAAGUAACAGAAGAAAGCUGUCAGGCUGAGGAAAGUUUCAACAGGCACUUGGUGAGAAUGGGAAGCAUCCAUUCAUUGGGAAAUCACGGGGACAGAGGAGGAAUUCACGGGAUCAGAGCACUGAGAAACUCCAGAGGCUUCUGGUUCACCGCCCUGAUUCCACAGAUGUGGGUCAGAGGCAGAGAUGGAAGUUGGAAUGGACAAGCCUGCCCUCUCCUCAGCUCUCCAUGGCUCUGUCCUCAGGCUGUUUCUGCAAUUUGACAUGAGGCCUGGCCCCAGGGAAACCAGUGGGGCCUCAUCUCCUCCCUGUGCUGCUCUGAGGUGGAGCCUUCUCAGGGUCAGUCCAGCUCUGGAGCCCCUCUCCAGCUCGGUCACCAAAGCUGUCUGGUCCCAGGGCAGUGUGGAGUGACAGGCACGCCAGCCAAUCCAAUCGGCCAUUUCAUACCCAAUGCAUGUGACUGAUAAAGAGAUAACACCCUGUCUCCAAGACACAGGCUUUACAUAAACAGCUUUAAUGACUUCUUCACUUAGGGACAAGACUCCUUAGUGGUGGAACCUCAGGCAUCCAUGCAGGAUGUAAGAAAGCUCCCGUAUAUACAUGAACUGAGAAGUGUGUAGAAGAGUAAAUACUGUAAUAGGUAAUAAAAUGUAUGUAUUUUUAUUUAUGUGCUACUUUGUCUUUCUCCCUCUCUGUGUAUAUACACAUACAUACAAAAAUGUAUUCAUUCUAUGGAAAACAUGAAAGAUGUAAUAUUCUUUACAUAUUUAAUUAAUGUAUUUUUUCUGAUCAUAUGAACACCACAAAUAUAAUUUUAUAAUUUUUUUACCUAACAAUAAGUCUUAAACAUAAAUAUACAUGGACAAUAUCAUAGUUUUUUUUUUAAUCAUAAUUAAAAUGGUUGUGAAACAAAAAAAAAAAAAA
rnacentral:lncRNA from 1 species